rnacentral:rRNA from 1 species
GUCCUUACGGGAGAAAGCAGGGGACCUUUCGGGCCUUGCGCUAUCAGAUGAGCUAGUCGGAUNAGCUAGUUGGUGAGGUAAUGGCUCACCAAGGCGACGAUCCCGUAACUGGUCUGAGAGGAUGAUCAGUCACACUGGAAUUGAGACACGGUCCAGACUCNUACGGGAGGCAGCAGUGGGGAAUAUUGGACAAUGGGCGAAAGCCUGAUCCAGCCAUGCCGCGUGUGUGAAGAAGGUCUUCGGAUUGUAAAGCACUUUAAGUUGGGAGGAAGGGCAUUAACCUAAUACGUUAG